UGCCCUACAAGAACUCUUCCUCUCCUCUCUUUCCCCAUUUCAAAUCUCCAUUCCGGCGAGCCUCCUCUCGCCGGCAGCUCCCUCGCUCUCGAUUUCUCUCCUAGGAAAGUCUUCUCAACUCCCUUCUUCAGGGCUUUAUCCUACUUUUUGUCAUCGAUCGCUCCCUAGGAUCGCUCCCUAGGAGCUGGAUAUCUGAAACCCUAGCCGUUACCCUCCUACUACUCGCUCCGAUGGACUUCAACAACCCCGCCGCCCUCGAAACCCUCUCCCAGUGGUUCCUCCAGUCCCUCUCCCCCGACCCCGAACCUCGACGCCGCGCGGAGUCUUCCCUCUCCGCCGCCGCCGCCUCAUCCGGCUUCGCCCUCGCCGUCCUCAACCUCGUCGCCACCGACCCCGUCGACGAGCAGAUCCGUCUCGCUGCCGCCGUCCACUUCAAGAACCACCUUCGCUCCCGCUGGUCGCCCUCCUCCUCCGAUGACCUUCCCAUUCCGGAAGCAGAGAAGAACCAGAUCAAAGCCCUGAUCGUCUCCCUCAUGCUCAAAGUCCCCCGCCGCAUCCGCCCCCAGCUCUCCGAGGCCCUCUCCAUCAUCAGUUCCCACGACUUUCCCCAGGCCUGGCCCUCCCUCCUCCCCGAGCUCGUCUCCAAUCUCCGAUCCGCCGCCGACUACUCCACCGUCAACGGCCUCCUCGGCGCCGCCAACUCCCUCUUCCUCAAGUUCCGCCACUCCUUCGACACCCCCGCCCUCCGCCUCGACCUCAAGUAUUGCCUUGAUGGCUUCGCCGCCCCCCUCCUUGAGGUCUUCCUCAAGACUGCACAGCUUAUAUCUGCUAGUGCCACCGCCGGCUCCCCUGACGUCCUCUGCCCCUUAUUCGAGUCCCAGCGCCUCUGCUGCGAGAUCUUCCACUCUCUCAACUCCAUCGAGCUUCCAGAGUUCUUCGAGGACCACAUGCGGGAGUGGAUGACCGAGUUCCGCAACUAUCUCACCGCCACCUACUCGCCGGCGGUCGAGGCUGAGGGCACUGUCGAUGCCCUCCGUGCUGCCAUCUGUGAGAAUCUCCAGCUCUACAUGGAGAAGAACGAGGAGGAGUUUAAGGAUUACCUCAAGGACUUUGCCUCCGCUGUUUGGAAUCUUCUCACGACCUCUGCUGCCAUCACUUCCCGAGACCAGCUAACCAUCACGGCUAUCAAGUUCUUGACCACUGUCAGCACCAGUGUCCACCAUUCUCUCUUCGGGAGCCCUGAAGCUCUCCAGCAGAUAUGCGAGAGCAUUGUAUUCCCCAACAUCCAGCUUCGGGAGGAGGAUGAGGAGCUCUUUGAGAUGAACUACAUUGAGUACAUUAGGAGGGACAUUGAGGGCAGUGACAUUGACACCCGGCGGAGGAUUGCCUGUGAGCUCCUUAAAGGGAUUGCCUUGAAUUACAAGGAGCAGGUGACAGCGCAGGUGUCGAUGCAGAUUCAAAGGAUGCUGGCACUCUUUGCUGCAAAUCCAGGCGAGAAUUGGAAGGCAAAGGACAGUGCCAUCUACCUUGUAGUCGCGCUUGCUCCCAAGGCAGGCACUGGGGGUGCUGCAUCUGGGUACCUGGUUGAUGUGGAGAGCUUCUUCACAUCAGUUAUUGUCCCUGAGUUACAGGGUCAGGACGUGAAUGCCACCCCGAUUCUGAAAGCAGGUGCGCUCAAGUUUUUCACAGUGUUCCGGGAGCAGAUCCCAAAGCCUGCUGCAAUUGCCCUGCUGCCGAAUGUUAUAAGGUUCUUGGGUUCUGAAUCGAAUGUGGUCCAUUCAUAUGCUGCAAACUGUAUUGAGAAGCUGUUGAUGGUGAAGGACAGGGCUCCUGCCCCGGCACCUGGGUUGAAUGCUGUCAGUUUUGUUCCUCGUUAUGGUGCAUCAGAUAUCAACCCUAUCGUGCAGCAGCUGAUGCACAAUCUUUUCACUGCACUUCAGUUCCCGGAUUCGCAGGAGAACCCAUAUAUCAUGAAGUGUAUCAUGAGGGUCCUUGGCAUUGCCCAUGUCACUGGUGAACUUGCUCAAGCCUGCAUUAAUCACCUAGCAUCAAUACUUGCAGAGGUAUGCAAGAAUCCAAAGAACCCAACCUUUAACCACUACCUAUUUGAGGCAAUUGCAGCACUGGUAUGGCGUUCCUGUGAGAAGGACCAGUCCCUUAUAGGGGUAUUUGAAGGGUGCCUAUUCCAGGUCCUUGAGAAUAUAUUGGUCAAUGACAUCUCAGAGUUCUGGCCGUAUGCCUUCCAGAUCUUUGCAGAGUUAGUUGAGAUAAGAAAGCCACCUCUGUCAGAUAGUUACAUGCAGCUGUUCCAGGUGCUCCUCACACCAGAAACUUGGAAGAAGUCAGCGAAUGUCCCAGCACUGGUCCGGUUGCUGCAGGCAUACCUGCAAAAGGUGCCAAAUGAGCUCAACAAUGAAGGAAGAUUGGGCCAGGUCCUUGGGAUAUUUAACAAGCUGAUAUCAGUUUCAAGCACUGAAGAACUGGGUUUCUUUGUGCUCAAUACUGUGGUGGAGAAUCUUCACUAUGAUAUGAUAGCACCUUACAUUGGCACUAUAUGGAAUGUCCUAUUUCUGCGGCUACAGAACAAGCGUACUGUUAAAUUUGUGAAUUCACUUGUGAUAUUCAUGUCGUUGGUUUUGGUCAAGCACAGCCCUGGCAUUCUUGUGGACUCGAUAAAUGCAGUUCAAGCCAAUAUAUUUGGAGCUAUUCUUCAGCAGUUUUGGAUUCCAAAUCUAAAGCUGAUUUCAGGAGCCAUUGAAGUCAAGCUGACUGCAGUUGCUGCAACAAGACUGAUUUGCGAGUCUCCAAGCCUUUUGGAUGCUUCAGCAAUGGAACUUUGGGGGAAGAUGCUUGACAGUAUCAUUACUUUGCUAGCCCAACCAGAUGAAUGUAAAGCGGACCUAGAAAAUGAUACGCCGGAUAUCCAUGAGACAGUGGGCUAUUCUACAGCCUUUGCCCGCCUUCACUAUGCUGGAAAGAAGGAAGAGGAUCCUCUGAAGGAAAUAAGGGAUCCAAAAGAGUUUCUAGUCACCUCGUUAUCUAAACUUUCAGCACUUGCUCCAGGAAGGUAUCCUGCAGUCAUUGAAAAGUAUGUGGAGCCUUCUAACCAAGCUGCACUUCUGCAGAUUUGUGGUGCUUAUAAUUGUGCAAUAGUCUAGGGAGUUAGGGGAGAUUUUGAAUGGGAUGCUUUUGGUGGUUUGCCUAUUCUACAGGUCAUGUAGGAUCAUGGAGGAGAAAUGGAAGAUAUGUUGUCAAGAAUGGACUAAGGGUUAUUACAAGCAGGAUGAGUGAGGAGUGGAUUGGUAUUUGGAACCACGUGGAUGACGUAAUGAGGGGAGACUUGAUGCAAGAGCUAGGAAGCAAACUGGCUUAUUUUUCUAAUUGCCGCUUGGAAACAGAAGAUUUUGCUUAAUGCUGUUUCCUGUGUGUUGGACAAGCAGUUUUGAAAUGGAGUGGGAGUAUGAAUUUUAGUUGCACAAUGGCUCAUAAAAUCAGUGGAAUUGAAGGGGAUCGAUUGACUCUACAGGAAGUUUUUGUCAAAGGAGAAUGUAAAAAUGAGCAUCAGAAAUUGUGGGCGGCAUCCAACCUCCCAGAUGCACUGAGUUGCUGAGUGCUUUGCCUUGUAUCCUUGAGUUUUAAUCAACAAUGUUUGCUUGAGGGAAUGUUGUGUCUUAAAUUAGUGGAAAAAGCAUUUUUUUUCUUUUUCUGGCGGGGGAUGGUGUCUGAUAUCCUAUUUUGGAGGUUUUAUGCUUCAUGUUCCUAGCAUGUCUGUCUUGUUGUCAAAGCUUGAUUUUUGUCCUCACUAUCUUCAUUUUCUCAGGAUAGCGAGAAUCUCGAAGUGACUAUUUUAAGGUUUUCAAAUGAAUUUAUCAGAGAACAUAUUGUGGUAUGCCUCCUAUUUUGGCUGGCUGGAAGUUCGCUGAUAUACACAGUGUGCUAAGUCUGUGCAAAUUAUCGUCUUCGCUUAUUUGGGCGAAAUGCAUGUCUUCUGGUGUUUGGAUGCCAGGAUUUUUCUUCUUUUUGUAUUUUUGUAUUCAAGUGGUGGGAGCACCGUAGGCCUUUGGUGAUCAGACCGGUCUGAUGGCUAGCAUCGGUGUCUGACGCACUCUGGCCUUCUCUUCUGCCUGCUUGGAAUGAAUGUGUAUAAUAAAUUGUUUUAUCUUUCUCGUUGCCAAAAUAAAUUGCCAGGAUGCUGAACGACUAUUGAUA